GAAAGUAAUAAAGGGCGUAUGGGGGAUGCCUAGGCUCUUGGAGGCGAAGAAAGACGUGGUAAGCUGCGAUAAGCCUCGGGGAUUUGCAAACGAGAAUUGAUCCGAGGAUUUCUGAAUGGGACAACCCGGCAGGCAGAAGGCCUGUCACACGAAAGUGGGCCAACCCUCUGAACUGAAACAUCUUAGUAGGAGGAGGAAAAGAAAGAAACAUCGAUUUCCUAAGUAGCGGCGAGCGAACGGGAAACAGCCUAAACCACAAUUGUUACGGCAACUGUGGGGUUGUAGGACUGCAAUAUUCAAAUGACUGUGAACUGGAAUGUUCUGGAAAGUUCAUCCGUAGAGAGUGAAAGACUCGUACAGGUAAGCACGUCAGGCGAUAGCAGUAUCCUGAGUAGGGCGGGACACGAGGAAUCCUGUCUGAAUCCGCCGGGACCACCCGGUAAGGCUAAAUACUCCCAAGAGACCGAUAGUGAACCAGUACCGUGAGGGAAAGGUGAAAAGAACCCCGAACAGGGGAGUGAAAUAGAACCUGAAACCAUACGCUUACAACCUGUCGGAGCGGCUUCGUGCCGUGACGGCGUGCCUAUUGAAUAAUGAGCCUACGAGUUACUAAUCACUGGCAAGGUUAAGUGCACGGAUGCACGGAGCCGAAGCGAAAGCGAGUCUGAACAGGGCGUUUAGUCAGUGGUUGUAGACGCGAAACCUUGCGAUCUACCCUUGAGCAGGUUGAAGGUUGGGUAAAACCAACUGGAGGACCGAACGAAUAAGCGUUGAAAAGCUUCUCGAUGACUUGAGGGUAGGGGUGAAAGGCUAAUCAAGCUGGGAAAUAGCUCGUACUCCCCGAAAUGCCUUUAGGGGCAGCGUUGUAAUUAAGAGUCUACUGGAGGUAGAGCUACUGAUUGGAUGCGGGGGCUUCACCGCCUACCAAAUCCUGACAAACUCCGAAUGCCAGUAGUAUGAUUUACAGCAGUGAGCGACCGGGUGCUAAUGUCCGGUUACGAGAGUGGAACAACACAGACCAGCAACUAAGGUCCCCAAGAGUAUACUAAGUUGAUCUAACGAUGUUUUGCUGCAGAGACAGCUAGGAUGUUAGCUUGGAAGCAGCUAUUCAUUCAAAGAGUGCGUAACAGCUCACUAGUCGAGCGGCAAAGCGUGGAUAAUAAACGGGCAUCAAGUAUACCACCGAAGUUCUGGGCACGAAAGUGCGGUAGGGGAGCAUUCCAUUCCGCGUUGAAGCCGAACCGUGAGGUUUGGUGGAGUGUAUGGAAAAGCAAAUGUAGGCAUGAGUAACGAUAAUGCGGGAGAGUAACCCGCACACCGCAAGACCAAGGUUUCCUGAUCAACGCUAAUCGGAUCAGGGUUAGUCGGGUCCUAAGGGUAAGCCGAACGGUGAUCUCGAUGGAUAAUCGGUUAAUAUUCCGAUACUGACAUAUACCUCGAUGGAGAGACGAAGGAACGUAAGUGCCGCCACCUGACGGAAUAGGUGGUUAAAGGGCUUAGGUAUAGGGACAGAUUAAGAGUUAGUCCUUGCUGAAACCUGACAGUACAGAGAGCCUACGGGCAAUUUGAUAGUGCACCCAAGUCGACUUCCGAGAAAAUCUUCUAAGUUAUAGUAUAUGUCACCCGUACCGUAAACCGACACAGGUGGUCGAGGAGAGUAUCCUAAGGUGCUCGAGUGAAUCACGGUUAAGGAACUAGGCAAAUUAACCCCGUAACUUCGGGAAAAGGGGUCCCAUCGCGAGGUGGGCGCAGCGAAGAGGUCCAGGCGACUGUUUAUCAAAAACACAGGGCUCUGCAAAUUCGAAAGAAGACGUAUAGGGCCUGACACCUGCCCGGUGCUGGAAGGUUAAGAGGGGAUGUCAUCGCAAGAGAAGCAUUGAAUCGAAGCCCCAGUAAACGGCGGCCGUAACUAUAACGGUCCUAAGGUAGCGAAAUUCCUUGUCGGGUAAGUUCCAACCUGCACGAAUGGUGUAACGAUCUGGACACUGUCUCAACCGUGAGCUCGGUGAAAUUGUAGUCCCGGUGAUGAUGCCGGGUACCCGCAACGGGACGAAAAGACCCCGUGAACCUUUACUAUAGCUUAACGCUGAAUUUGGGUACACAAUGUGUAGGAUAGGCAGGAGACUACGAAGCGGGCACGCCAGUGUUCGUGGAGUC
rnacentral:rRNA from 1 species